GGAAUAACCUGGGGAAACUCGGGCUAAUGCCGCAUACGUUGGAUGGACCGAGGUCCGUUCAGGAAAGCUGGCCUCUGCUUGCAAGCUGGCGCGCCUGGAGGAGCCCGCGGCUGAUUAGCUGGUUGGUGGGGUAAUGGCCCACCAAGGCGACGAUCAGUAGCCGGCCUGAGAGGGUGAUCGGCCACACUGGGACUGAGACACGGCCCAGACUCCUACGGGAGGCAGCAGUGAGGAAUUUUGCGCAAUGGGGGAAACCCUGACGCAGCAACGCCGCGUGAGUGAUGAAGGCCUUCGGGUCGUAAAGCUCUGUCAAGUGGGAAGAACCCGCAUAUGGCCAAUACCUAUAUGCGCUGACGGUACCACUGAAGGAAGCACCGGCUAACUCCGUGCCAGCAGCCGCGGUAAUACGGGGGGUGCAAGCGUUACUCGGAAUCAUUGGGCGUAAAGGGCGCGCAGGCGGCCAGGUAAGUCAGAUGUGAAAUCCCGGGGCUUAACCCCGGAAGUGCAUUUGAUACUACUUGGCUUGAGUAUGGGAGAGGGGAGUGGAAUUCCUGGUGUAGAGGUGAAAUUCGUAGAUAUCAGGAGGAACACCGGUGGCGAAGGCGACUUCCUGGACCAAUACUGACGCUGAGGUGCGAAGGCGUGGGUAGCAAACAGGAUUAGAUACCCUGGUAGUCCACGCAGUAAACGUUG
rnacentral:rRNA from 1 species